AAGCAUCUCACAAUAGCGAUUAAAGGUCACUGUUACAGUAACACCGUCUUCUUCAAAGAAGUACGGACCCCACACACCAAAUGCGAAAAUGGCACACCAAACUGUAACCUUUGGACUGUGGUCGCUGGUGAAGUUCUUGAGGAUUGUGUUCAGACCAGUAUCUAAAGUUUUAUUUGUUUACCGUACCUGAGAGGUGAAAAUGUACCUCGUCCGUA